rnacentral:rRNA from 1 species
GACGAACGCUGGCGGCGUGCUUAACACAUGCAAGUCGAACGGAAAGGCCCUGCUUUUGUGGGGUGCUCGAGUGGCGAACGGGUGAGUAACACGUGAGUAACCUGCCCUUGACUUUGGGAUAACUUCAGGAAACUGGGGCUAAUACCGGAUAGGAGCUCCUGCUGCAUGGUGGGGGUUGGAAAGUUUCGGCGGUUGGGGAUGGACUCGCGGCUUAUCAGCUUGUUGGUGGGGUAGUGGCUUACCAAGGCUUUGACGGGUAGCCGGCCUGAGAGGGUGACCGGCCACAUUGGGACUGAGAUACGGCCCAGACUCCUACGGGAGGCAGCAGUGGGGAAUAUUGCACAAUGGGCGGAAGCCUGAUGCAGCAACGCCGCGUGCGGGAUGACGGCCUUCGGGUUGUAAACCGCUUUCGCCUGUGACGAAGCGUGAGUGACGGUAAUGGGUAAAGAGGCACCGGCGAACUACG